rnacentral:lncRNA from 1 species
AGAAGAAGUGGCCGGGCGUAUCAACGCAUGCGCUAAAGUGCUUAGCAUCGUGGUUGUCGUGGCCAUAUAGCGCACAUACGGAGGCUUGGGCCGCCAUUUUGCAUUUUUCUGUCGACUUCGAUGGGCCUCGUGUCGGCUGCCCUCUGCGUCGUACCGUACCCCACGGUCCUGCUGCUCCUAGUUACGCACUAACGGUGGCAGCGCUUGACCAAGUGACACGCUGCGCGAGUUCCAGCCUUAGGCCACACUCUGGAAGAACUAUGGCUUCAUCACCCCGGGCCUGCAAAAUGUGAGGCACGCUUCGAGAGACUUUGUUGCUCCUUCUCGGCAAUUCCUCGCCCUCAUUUUCCGAACUCCCGGAAUGUAUGCAACGGCCAGCUGUCAGCCCUUGGGGCAUCCCGGUUAAGCCGGCGCAGCGUAUAAGUCGCAAGUCGCGCAGGCCGAGUACUCGUUCUUUGUGUGUGUGUGUUCCUACUCGUCGGCGACGCCUGGACCACGAACUGUGGAGGAGCAACUCUGACCGUGGCUGUUAACGGAGGACCUGCGCAGCAACCCCUGGUCACGGCGAGCGUCGUCACGGCGAGCUUCCAGACGUCGAGCGUCGUUAGCGCUCACCAGUUAAGUCCUAUAGAUGGUCCCAAAGCUGGCGAGGGUGGCGCAUGCCUUAGCUAAGUUAACUGUUGAGUUCCACUAGUUAGCGCUCGCUAGGAGUGCUUAGUUACAUUUGAAAAUUACGUAAAGUUAAUUUUGUUGCUUAACUGUAAGCCCGGCCGAGAGUUUUGUGGGCAUGGCUGCGGCCACAUGGGUCUCCUCCGUGCCGGAAUCGAAGGACGGGCCACCGUGUUCGGGGUGGCGGCGUGUGUAGCUUCAGGCUUAGCUGACACAAGGCUUAGCUCACACUAGGCAGGCUAGCUGAUAGCCGUCCUCUUUUCGACUGCGGCAGGGACAUGGACCCGUUCCGAAUUGCACUGCGACCCGACCACUAUUUCGUGACAAGGUAGCCCGGGCGCGUCAGUGCUAUCGAACGAAAUGUGGAAUCGGGGGAGCACUCGGAAUUGCCUCGCCAGCUUUUAGCUACUAAUCAUGCUUAAUGCAGCCCUCAACGCCGGACGUCGCCUUCGGUUCUCAUCGGAGCUCGGCCGGGCAGCAGCGACAAGCAUCACUCGUUCCGCGGCCUACCGCGUUCCCUCGUCGGUGUGGUCUUGCUGGCAGGCGAGACCAUGGUCACCGCCCUGCGCUACUACGGGAUCCCAACGUUUGCUUUUGAUUGCGGCCCACGAGGAAGGAUAUCCAGUGUGCUGCUCGACAUUUGCCAUGCUCCCAACGUCCUCCCACAGGAGAUGGCCUUGAGCACCACCCGUACAGUGGCUGGCCGCGUUGGCUCCAUUGCAUUGUAUCACCCAUGACGUCCUGCUGGCAGACGGGACUUGGUUUGGAGCCCUGCUACUAAUGCCCACGAGUAGGGUAUCCAGUGUGCUGCUCCACGUUUGCCAUCCUCCCAACGCCCUCCCACAGGAGAUGGCCUUGAGCACCACUCGUACCGUGGCCGACCGUGCUACCUCGCCGCCGGUGUGCGGUCUUGCUGGCAAACGAGAAUGCUCAUCGCCCUGCACUGCUAACGUAAUCCCAACGUCUGCUUUCGAUUGCGGCCUACGAGUAGGAAGGACAUCAGUAUCCUUGCCAUCCUCCCAACGUCCCACUGGAGAUGGCCUUGAGCACUACUCGCUCCGUGGCAGUCCGGGCAUGUUACAUUGCAUUCCCUCACCGAUGGCGGCCUCCAGGCAGACGGGACUUGCUCCCACUGCUGGUGAGUAUCGCGUACAGACGACUCGUACAUCGGCUAUGUCCUCGAGUGGUUAACAAUGAGCCCUCUGUCGUUUCGUGUUUCCAGAUGAUCGUUUU